rnacentral:rRNA from 1 species
UACGUAGGGUGCAAGCGUUAAUCGGAAUUACUGGGCGUAAAGCGUGCGUAGACGGUAGCGUAAGUCGGGUGUGAAAGCCCCGGGCUCAACCUGGGAAUUGCAUUCGAGACUGCUCUGCUAGGGUGCGGAAGAGGGAAGCGGAAUUUCCGGUGUAGCGGUGAAAUGCGUAGAUAUCGGAAGGAACACCAGUGGCGAAAGCGGCUUCCUGGUCCAGCACCGACGUUCAGGCACGAAAGCGUGGGGAGCAAACAGG